GGAAGACGUUUCUGCAAAGUGCUGGAUGUGGUGGAGCAGCAGUGACCCAUGGAGAAGGAAGAGAAGCUGGUUGUGCCUGCAGGAGCCUCACCCCAAUGGACUGCUGAACACAGGGCUCGGUACCGAGUGCUAGCGCUGCAGAACUCCUCACCUUCAGGUCCCCAGCACGCACAUUUGUAAGACACGCUUCUCCCACCCCAACCUCUCAGUGGUCCCUGCCCUCCCAGAUGUCCGUCAGUCUGUCACUGUACAGAGCUGUGAGAGGAAGAUGUGAUACUGCACUGCAUGCAAAAAGGUAAAGAAAGGAGAUCAGUAACAUGUUAAUAUCCCAUCCUGACGUCUCACAAAUUAUUUUAGACUUCGUAGCCAAUGUAAACAGGUUUGUUUUCAACUCCCCUAAUUGCCUGCUAAUUGAGAGCAGAUGCAGGCCUUAACUUCCAGCAGAUAAAGAACAGCCUCUUCUCCAGGGCUCCUCAUCUAUCACGAGGUCUCUGAUGUGUGCCUGUGAGCUCCCCUGGUUAGCAGGGUUGAGGCAGAGAGGGAUUGGAGCUGCUUCUCUUGGAACUGCGGAGAGACAGGAGGGAAGGCAGAGCUGUGGGAUUCAUCAGUAACAUCAUCAUUAUUAUUGUUUCAUUUUGUACUUCAGCGCGCUUUCUGCAACAGUGUAUGUUUCCUUCUUGGGGGGGGAGUUCUUCAAAUUAUCGAUGGGUUUCUUGUUAUGAUAGAAAUUACUGGGUUUAUGAAAAAGGCAUUGCUGUCGUAUUCCAUUAUCUGCUUUCUCCCGUGCUGCAAUUCUGUAGCUUGCAAGUCUUCAGAUUCUUUCUCAGAGUUCCUUUGAAAUAAUCCUUUCAAAAAACACUAUUCAUUGGGUAUGACCCCAGAGAGGCACUGUCUGGAACUAAAGCUCUCUUUUAGUUCUGCAAGGGAGACCUGUAACAACAAUAUAAGUGCAUGUAUAUUCCAAAUAACGUCUGGAGCUUGCUCCCUCCCAUUUAAUGCAAUGGGAGCCCGCAGUUCAGGUGGUAGAAUUUUGCUUUGUAAAUGUAGGAGAAAAUUUAGUUCAGAUACGUAGGUAAACUUGCAUUUGGUAGUGAUUUAACGUUCCAUGGUCUGUUUUAGUUCCAACUUAAAUAUUACAUUAAAACCAGCAAUAAAAGGAAAAAAAGAAGAAGAAUUAAAAAAUGUGCUGAAUCCUGGGCUUGGAAAGAGUGGGGAUGAUUUUGUUCUUGCUGUCAGCGCAGUGCUGAGCUGCCUUUUGCUCUCUCCAUUUAACGAGUCAGCAGCGGUGGCGAAGUGACAGCCCUCCAGUCUUUCUUCAGGACUGUUUUUGCAAAUGAAAGCAGCUCCUCGUGCUCUCCGUAUCGCUUACGAGGUGUUUGUGAAUUUGGGAGUUCUUGCAUCUGUUUGCAAAGAGGCGGCGAGGAUUUAGUGAUUCCUUGGGGUAAGAGGCCCUUUGUGCGGGGAGGCUGCGUGGGGUGCUGCCACCGGGUUCAGAAGGUCAAAAAAGGAUAAUUUAAAUACAAUUUUUUAAAGAGGCAAUAAGAAACCAGUUUGGUGGUUUGUGGAUCAUAAAGGAAUAGGAAAAAA